AUGGCGCCGCCGCAGCCAACACCACCACCGAAGACGCCGAUCUUCCGAACCCCAGACGAGCUCCUCCGCGACACCUUCCUCCGUCUCACCACUGCUGCCGACCUAGCCCACGCCACCGCAGCAUGCCCCUCAUUCCGCCGUCUCAUCGCCGACCACGCCUUCCUCGGUUACCGCACCCUCCACCCGCCGCCUCUUAUCGGCGCGGUUGGCGACGCCACCUUCAUCCCGGCCCAGCCACCACACCCCUCCUCCGUCGCCGCCCGCGCCUUCACCGGCUUCGACUUCUCCUGCUCGUCCUUCCUCCCCUUCACCGGCGGCCGUACCUGGAGGCCACUUGACUUCUUGGACGGACGCGCCCUCAUUGCCGGCGCCCUAGUACAAGAAGAAAGCAGCGUUCUUGGUUUGCGCCACUUCCGGUACCGGUACCACAAUCUUUUGGUCAGGGACCUCGCCGUGUGCGACCCCGUGCACCGCCGCUACACCCUGCUGCCGGCCGUCCCCGGCGACCUGAAAGCGCUGGUCCGUGAAAGGGAGCUUUCCGAGCUGGAGACUUUCCUUGCUCCGGGCGACGAUGAGGAGGACGUUUUAUCAUUCAGGGUCAUGUGCUUGGUGCAAUGCAGGAUGAAUAUUCUGCUUGUCUUCUCCUCCUCGGAUGGGCAGUGGCGUUCUCUUCCAUUUUACCAAUGGAGUGCUCCUGAGGAUGAGCUGUUUGAUCUGCCGCCAGUUGAGGAUGGGCUGUUUGAUCGUCAGUUCGUCCACGGCCGCUUCUGUUGGCGUUUGCUCUUCCUGAACAAGUUGGUCCUGCUUGAUCCACGCACCAUGGAGUCCUCUGCUCUCAACCUCCCACCUCAACUAGGAUGGGGCAGCGAAUUUGCCAUUGUCGAGGCGGCACAAGGAAUGUUCGGAAUGCUGCGUAAAGUCCAAGACAGGCGCAGCGAAGAUGACGAUACGUAUUUGCUGACGUAUUCUUCUCUCAGGAACAACAAAUGGCACUUGGAGAAGGCCAUCCCGUUGCCGGUAAAGGGUGCUGCUCUGCUUUCCGUAGGCGCGGGAUACCUGCUCAUAGGAGCCCAGCCGUACACCAGAUCUUCACAUGAGAAGCCCAAGUUUGAGUUACUUUCGGUGGACGUCAAGACAUUGCAGAUCGAGUUGUUCGCGGAGCUAAGUGAAGCCACCUUACCUGAUCAACUAUAUAUUGGUUUUCCACCAUCAUUGUGUGCGCCAACUAUAUGA
rnacentral:rRNA from 1 species